GACUGCUUACUAUCCCUGAUUUUCUGAAGAAUAAACUGAGACUAAGAAGCACUAAUUAGACGACUGGGAUUACAUAGUUUAGUCAUGAGAAAGAUUCUGGAACAAAAAUAUCAGCCUCUUUUGGAUUCCAGUUUUCACUCUUGGUCUUACUCAUCUCGCCUCCCUGUGGAGAACAAGGCAAGGAUCUCAGGACCAUAAGUCACCAUGGCAACUAGCCCUCAUCAGUCUCCUCACAAGGUGGGGAGAUGCAAAAGUCAAAGAGAGGCUUCCCCUGGAACAUCUGUGGGCGAGCAUGAGGACCAGUGUGUUUGAGCUUUGUGCCUCAGGUGCUCAGCUGAUGCAUCAGAAAUGGGAGUCAUCAUCAUUUAUGGGAGGAUAAACCACUGCUCUGCGCCACCCCCUAGAUCAAAGCCAUUGCACAUGUCUGGGUCACAAGGAAUGAAAAUCUUGAGACAUCAAAUUUGUACAAUGACUCAAUUCUGAUCAAGUAACUUUGAAAUACAACAAAAGGCAAAGGCACUGGACAGGCAGACUCCAGGAGGGAUUUCCUUGAAGAAUUACUCUUGUCUACUGGAGGCAGAACAGCAAGAUGAUUAUGGGGAAGGGAAGAGAUUUUUCAUGACUUUCAAUAUCUGAGACACAUGCAGCUCUGGUAUGUAGGAGGUUGUGUUUCCCAAGCUAAAUGCCAAAGAAAAAGAAGAUAAAAGUGAAGGUUUGUGUACCUGUUACCAAAUUACUUUCCUGAGUGUCAGGAGAGCAUGACAUUUUGAUACUGCCAUCAACACCGAAAGUUACCAAGCAUGAACCACCACAGACAUACAUGUGUCAACACAUUAACAGAGGCAAAAGUGAAGAAGACAGACAGACUUUGGUACAUCUUAAAAGCCAUCACAUCGGGGUGAGGGGGCUGAUGGCUUAGCAGGCAACAGAGCUUGCUGCCAUGCAGCCUGAUGAUUGGAGUUCAAACCUCAGGACCCACAUGAUAGAGGGAGAGAGCCCACUUCCACAUAUUACACUUAUCAUGGUAAGUAUGAGCAUGUUUGAGCACACACACACACACACACACACACACACACACACACACACACACACAGUGUGUGGGGGAUAAAUGUACAAUGGGCAUUCAAUCCUUUAAGGGAACAGACUCAGAAACAUUGAUGGCUUUUUUUUUUUUUGUAUCCACGGCUUAUAUGCUAAGCACCCUUCAGAGGAGUAAAGAUGUGAUGUCUUUUCUGUUUUUUGAUAUUAGCCCAUAUCUUCAAACACCUUCUACCUUUCUGGUCUCCAUUGCUAAAUCCCAAUCAUCCUGAAGGGGACUGAUAAUUGUGGCAGUUGCAUAAAAAUGAUUGCUACCUGCAGAGGCAAUCACUUCUGUCUCCUGCAGAACUGAUGAGCAAUUCAUUAUCAAGGAUGUAAUUACUGUAGCCCUGGGAGGAAAGGAUUUCUCACACGAUUUCCAGGAUUUUGUUCAUUUGACCCCUGUUGGCUGGAAAUUGGCUUUCCUGAGCAGGAAUCCGGAAUCAGGCUGGGGCAGAAGGGUAAGUACACGUUGGAAAGUGAAAAGGAAAUAUUUGUGUAACCUGCCUUGAACUUGUGACAUUACCUUUAGGGGAAACUGUGUCUAGGAACAGAGUAACAUCCUCUUUGAAUUAUGGCAAUCCUGGCGGCUAGUACACAGCUGGAUUUGGACAGAAAUGGGAAAAAAGCUGAAUAUGUACCAGAGAGGUGCAUUGUGUGCUUUGUCUGUGAAGAUCCUAACUUCAACACCAAGCUACCUUCUCCUCAAUAAACAAAAUGCAAAAGGUGCUCUAUGGAAAUGCUGUAUUAGGAGCUAUGCUGAGGUGGCAUGGUGCAGAGACAGUCAAACUGCCUGGACCAAAGUCUGGAUCGAUUCCAUCCCAGAGCAGGCAAAUCUGUCUAAGGUGUCCACAUCCUGAGUCUCUCUCCCUAGGAAGAAAGUUAAUCCUAGUGCCAGUCUCACAUAACCAUACACAAGAUUGUCUUCAUUCAUGUAAAUCUUCAAACAUGGAGCCCAUAGGGAGAAGAGUAAUAUCAUUAUUAAAAUAUCUUAAAAUUGCUUUCAUUUUCUGAAUUUAGAUUUUCCCACUGUCAUGCUUUAAUAUAAGGUGUCCCUCAUGAACUCAGGCAGUGAGGGCUAGAUUGCCAGUUUGGCAAAGUCAUUGGACCUCAGAGACUAUAACCUAAUCAAUGGCUUGAUCCCUUGAUGGUUCACACUAUGAUCGGAUUAUUUGGAGGUGGUAGAGUUGAUGAAGCACAGAUCACUGAGCUGAUACCUCACUUGAUCCCUUCUUACAAUCUCCCUUUCUCUGCUUUUGAUCCGCCAUCCCCCCUCCACAUGCUCAGCCCCAUGAUGUUCUGUCUCACAACAGACUGUGAAUCAACAGAGCAAGGGAUGACGGAUUGAAUCCGGUAAACCUGAGGGCCAAGGUAAAGAUUCCCUCCCUUAAAUCAUGUUUUAGUAUAUUUUGUCACAACAAUGAAAAACUGGCUCAAAUGUUCAUAGACUGUAAAUAUCUUAGUCACUAAAGAGCUAAAUUUUGAGUUGUUACCUCCCCUUGUAUGUGCCUUUUGUUUAAAGAGAUCACAGUGAGAAAGGAGGUAACAUGGAUUGUAUCAGGAACAUGUGAGUGUCAUCUCUACUACCCAGGACUUACAAUCAGUGCCAUUUCAAGUGUUUUCCAUGACACUGUUGUAGCUGAGGUUCAGAUCCUCUUUGUCCACUAACUGUUUUUAUGAUUCAGAGAAAAUGACUCUCUAAGCCUCAUUUUCCUGGAAAUGAGAAUAAUAAUAGUUCUUUUUUCAUCUCACUACAAUGUCUGUCACAUAGCGAGUGGUCUGACAAGGCUGGCUUUUCUUAUUAUUUAUUAAUAAAAUCUGAGACUCAUUCAGAUAAGUAUUCCUUCUAAGAUCAUAAAAACAAUAAAUUAAGUGAAUGAGAUUUGAGUAUGUAUCAGUCUGACCAAAAAUACCAUAAUAUUCUAUUCUAUCAUGUUGACAAGCUAACUGUGUGUUGGUAACUCAUUCUUAGAAUCCCGUCAAAGGCUAGUGUGGAACAGAAUUUCUUCCUAGGUCAUAAUAACCAACAUUUCAAUGUUGUGUUGAAAACAGUGAAAAGACUGGAUACUAGGUAUUUCCUUGCACAGUUACUUUGAAGAUUGGAAAUAAUUUCUUGAACAUAUUUUCUCAUUAAGCAGUAGCUAUUUUGGAUUCUGUAACUCAAAAACUAAGGAAAUGAUAGGUGAUUUAUUAGUCUAUCAGGCUUCCCUAGAGAAAUAGAUUUACUAGAAAGAAUACACAUUAAAGGGAGAUUUAGUAGACUGUCUUACACAGUAUGGUCUGGGUAGCCUAAUAAUGGUGGACUAAUGCUGGAGACUCAAUCUGUGAAACCCCAUGCCGAAGAAGCUGCUUCUAACAACUGUGAAGAAAUGGAGCAGUGGCAGCAACCUUAGGGAUAUACUUGCCAGCAAGCAUACCAGCAAGCGAGCAAAAAGCAAAGCCUCUCUUUUCCUAUGUCCUUUCAUCUGGGAGGUUCUGGAAACACUUUGGGUGGGCCUUACAGCUUCAAAUAAUGUGAUCAAGAAAAGUCCUCAAAGGAGAAUCCAUCAGCUUGCCUUUAGUUGAUUUAGAUCCAGUCACUGUGACAACCAAGAUUGACCAUGGCACUCUGCAUAUGAUUUUUGUUGAGAAAUGUAGAUAUUAGGUUGUGCAUUUUUGGUAAUAAAAAUAGCAUAGAAGUUGCCAACCUCUGCAGCCAAGAACUGUUGCUGUCUACAGACUUUAUCCUGAGGAAUCUGCAAGUGACUUGUCUAUGAAAAUGUGUUAGAAUUACAUCUGCUUUUGUUAAUUUGGAUACUUUCUCUCUGUCUUUUAGUUAGUUUGGAAAGGGUUUGUCUGUCUUGUUGAUUUUAUCAAAGAACCAACUCUUUUUUUCAUUGAUUCUUUGUAUCAUUCUCUUUGUUUCUAUUUUAUUGAUUUCAGCCCUCAGUUUGAUUAUUUCCUGCCAUCUACUCCUCUUGGGUGUGAUUUACUUCUUUUUGUUCUAGAGAUUUUAGAUGUGCUGUUAAAUCGCUAGUGUGAGAUUUCUCUGAUUUCUUUAGGAUGGCAUUUAGUGCUAUGAACUUUCCUCUUAGCACAGUUUUCAUCAUGUCCCAUAAGUCUGGGUGUGGUCUACAUUUGCUUUCAUGGAAUUCUAGGAAGUCUUUAAUUUCUUUCUUGAUUUCUGCCUUGACCCAGUAGUCAUUGAGAGUUGUUCAGUUUCCAUGAGCUUGUAGGUUUUCUGUUGUUUCUGCCAUUGUUGAUAUCCAGUUUUAAUCCCUGGUAGUCUGAUAAGAUGCAGAGAAUUAUUUCAAUUUCCUUAUAUCUGUUGAGACUUGCUUUGUGACUGACUAUGUGGCUAACUUUGAAAAAUGUUCUGUGAGGUGCUGAGAAGAAGGUAUAUUCUUUUGUGUUUGGGUGAAAUAUUCUAUAGAUAUCUGUUAGAUCCAUUUGGUUUAUAAUGUCUGUUAAUGCCACUAUUUCUAUGUUUACUUAAUGUUUGGGUGACCUGUUAAUUGGUGAGAGUGGGGUAUUGAAGUCUUCAACUAUCCAUUUGUAAGAGUCUAUGUGUGAUUUAAGCUUUAAUAAUGGUUCUUUUAAAAAUGUGAGUGCCCUUAUGUUUGGGAUAUAGAUGUUGGGAAUUGAAAAGCUAUCUUGGUGGAUUUUUCCUUUGAUGAGUAUAAAGUGCCCUUC